rnacentral:misc_RNA from 1 species
UUGACAAAGUUGAAAAUCAUAGAGCACCUGCUUAAAAUUGUAUCCGAAAAGAAAGCUGGGGAGUGUCUGGCCACAGCAGAUGUUGAGACGGAAUCAUCUCUUGCACCUGUCCAGAGAUCUUCCAAAAGGCAGAGGAAAACUGAUAACCCAUCACGGUUAACCGUUUCAGUUAACCAUGCUGCUGCUAACAAUGGAGGCAAUGACUUAGUUAAUACUGUGUACUGUAAAAACUCUGCUUGCAGAGCUACCUUAAAACAAAAUGAUGCAUUUUGCAAGAGGUGUUCAUGUUGCAUCU